rnacentral:rRNA from 1 species
AGCGAAACUGCNAAUGGCUCAUUAAAACAGUUAUAGUUUAUUUGAUAAUCGAAUCUACAUGGAUAACCGUGGUAAUUCUAGAGCUAAUACAUGCUGGCGUGCCCGACUUUGUGGAAGGGCGGUAUUUAUUAGAUAACAAGCCAAUAUUCCUUGUGUCUAUUGUGGUGACUCAUAAUAACUGAUCGAAUCGCACGGCCUACGGCCGCGAUAAGUCAUUCAAGUUUCUGCCCCAUCAGCUUUCGAUGGUAGUGUAUUGGACUACCAUGGCGUUUACGGGUAACGGAGGAUUAGGGUUCGAUUCCGGAGAGGGAGCCUGAGAAACGGCUACCACAUCUAAGGAAGGCAGCAGGCGCGUAAAUUACCCAAUCCUGACUCAGGGAGGUAGUGACAAGAAAUAACGGACCGUUCGCCAUCUGGCGUCGGGACUGCAAUGAGCCGAAUUUACACCCCUUAGCGAGGACCAAUU